GACGAACGCUGGCGGCGUGCUAAACACAUGCAAGUCGAACGGAAAGGCCCCUUUGGGGGUACUCGAGUGGCGAACGGGUGAGUAACACGUGAGUAACCUGCCCUUGACUUCAGGAUAACUUCAGGAAACUGGGGCUAAUACCGGAUAGGAAUCCUUGCUGCAUGGUGGGGGUUGGAAAGCUUCGGCGGUUUUGGAUGGACUCGCGGCUUAUCAGCUUGUUGGUGGGGUAGUGGCUUACCAAGGCUUUGACGGGUAGCCGGCCUGAGAGGGCGACCGGCCACAUUGGGACUGAGAUACGGCCCAGACUCCUACGGGAGGCAGCAGUGGGGAAUAUUGCACAAGGGGCGGAAGCCUGAUGCAGCAACGCCGCGUGCGGGAUGACGGCCUUCGGGUUGUAAACCGCUUUCAGCAGGGGCGAAGCUUGUGGUGACGGUACCUGCAGAAGAAGCACCGGCUAACUACGUG
rnacentral:rRNA from 1 species